GGGACAGAAGGAUCUCUGACAGGUUCUCACUGCUGUCUGGGGAAGAGUUGAUCUGGCUGCCCAGGCUGUCCUGUGGUGGGGCCUACGGGACUCCUUCCUUCGCUCCUCCCGCCACUUGAGAGCCCGGCGUGACUUCUCAUGCUCCCAGCUGCCAGCAUUCCCCACCAAGAGACACAGGAUUCAGCUCAGCUCACCUGUGCUUCUAAGCUCCAGGCUCCCCCAUGCCAAACCUGAACCUGGGUGGGUCUAAAGGGUCCCAGGAUAGGGGCGAGCAUACCUGGCGAUGACACACUGGGAGACUUUAGGGCUGGGGAGAAUCCCUUGAACCCAGCAAAGUCUGGGCGCCCAUUGAUUCCCAUGUCUACAACUGAAGGCCACGGGUGGCUCCGCCAUGAGUAACUGGCUCCAAGCAAGGAGCAGCUCCAGAGGCCACAGGGCUGACCACCACAAAGCCCCAAAUCUAGUUGCCAGAAACACAGAGAACUUCUGUCUGCAAUCAAAUUUCAGAUUCACAGCAAAGGGACUGGUUUAGUUAAGGUCGUCUCAACUCUUCUUGCGUGAGACAUUCGUCUGAAAUCCAAGUGGGGGUAGCUGAGCUUUGUCUGGGUGUGGCCCGGCAGGCCUGCUCUUA
rnacentral:sRNA from 1 species